AACGAACGCUGGCGGCAUGCCUAACACAUGCAAGUCGAACGAGACCUUCGGGACUUUUGGCGCACGGGUGCGUAACGCGUGGGAACCGGCACUUAGGUUUGGCAUAACUCCCCGAAAGGGGUGAUAAUACCGGAUAAUGGCUUCUAACCAAAGAUAUAUCGCCUUUGGAGGGGCCCGCGUUGGAUUAGCUAGUUGGUAGGGUAAAAGCCUACCAAGGCGACGAUCCAUAGCUGGUCUGAGAGGAUGAUCAGCCACACUGGGGCUGGGACACGGCCCAGACUCCUACGGAAGGGGGCAGUGCGGAAUGUUGGACAAUGGGCGAAAGCCUGAUCCAGCACUGCCGCGUAAGUGAUGAAGGCCUUAAGGUUGUAAAGCUCUUUUACCCGUGAUGAUAAUGACGGUACCGGGAGAAUAAGCUCCGGCUAACUACGUG
rnacentral:rRNA from 1 species